GGACUUGUAGCCCAACUGGCAGAGGCAAACAGCUCAAACCUGUUCCAGUGUGAGUUCGAAUCUCACCAGGUCUA
rnacentral:tRNA from 1 species